AUUGAACGCUGGCGGCAUGCCUAACACAUGCAAGUCGAACGGGGCAGCAAUGCCCAGUGGCGGACGGGUGAGGAAUACGUAGGAAUCUGCCCUUAAGUGGGGGAUAACCAGGGGAAACCCUGACUAAUACCGCAUGAUCUCUUCGGAGCAAAGAGGGGGACCGCAAGGCCUCUCGCUUCUGGAUGAGCCUACGUCUGAUUAGCUAGUUGGUAGGGUAAAGGCCUACCAAGGCGACGAUCAGUGACUGGUCUGAGAGGAUGAUCAGUCACACCGGAACUGAGACACGGUCCGGACUCCUACGGGAGGCAGCAGUGGGGAAUAUUGGACAAUGGGCGCAAGCCUGAUCCAGCAAUGCCGCGUGUGUGAAGAAGGCCUUCGGGUUGUAAAGCACCUUAGCCUGGAAAGAAAAAACUUUGGUUAACACCCAAAGUCUUGACGGUACCAGGAGAAUAAGCACCGGCUAACUCUGUGCCAGCAGCCGCAGUAACAC
rnacentral:rRNA from 1 species